rnacentral:rRNA from 1 species
AUUGAACGCUGGCGGCAUGCCUUACACAUGCAAGUCGAACGGCAGCACGGGGGCAACCCUGGUGGCGAGUGGCGAACGGGUGAGUAACAUAUCGGAACAUACCCUAGAGUGGGGGAUAACGUAGCGAAAGUUACGCUAAUACCGCAUACGAUCUAAGGAUGAAAGUGGGGGAUCUUCGGACCUCAUGCUCAUGGAGUGGCCGAUAUCUGAUUAGCUAGUUGGUGAGGUAAAGGCUCACCAAGGCGACGAUCAGUAGCUGGUUUGAGAGAACGACCAGCCACACUGGAACUGAGACACGGUCCAGACUCCUACGGAGGCAGCAGUGGGGAUUUGGACAAUGGGGGCAACCUGAUCCAGCAAU